rnacentral:rRNA from 1 species
UACGGAGGAUGCGAGCGUUAUCCGGAUUUAUUGGGUUUAAAGGGUGCGUAGGCGGACGCUUAAGUCAGCGGUAAAAUUGCGGGGCUCAACCUCGUCGAGCCGUUGAAACUGGGUGUCUUGAGUGGGCGAGAAGUACGCGGAAUGCGUGGUGUAGCGGUGAAAUGCAUAGAUACCACGCAGAACUCCGAUUGCGAAGGCAGCGUACCGGCGCCCAACUGACGCUGAAGCACGAAGGCGUGGGUAUCGAACAGG